rnacentral:rRNA from 1 species
AUUGAACGCUGGCGGCAGGCUUAACACAUGCAAGUCGAACGGUAGCAGGAGAAAGCUUGCUUUCUUGCUGACGAGUGGCGGACGGGUGAGUAAUGCUUGGGAAUCUGGCUUAUGGAGGGGGAUAACGACGGGAAACUGUCGCUAAUACCGCGUAUUAUCGGAAGAUGAAAGUGCGGGACUGAGAGGCCGCAUGCCAUAGGAUGAGCCCAAGUGGGAUUAGGUAGUUGGUGGGGUAAAGGCCUACCAAGCCUGCGAUCUCUAGCUGGUCUGAGAGGAUGACCAGCCACACUGGAACUGAGACACGGUCCAGACUCCUACGGGAGGCAGCAGUGGGGAAUAUUGCGCAAUGGGGGGAACCCUGACGCAGCCAUGCCGCGUGAAUGAAGAAGGCCUUAGGGUUGUAAAGUUCUUUCGGUAUUGAGGAAGGUUGAUGUGUUAAUAGCACAUCAAAUUGACGUUAAAUACAGAAGAAGCACCGGCUAACUCCGUGCCAGCAGCCGCGGUAAUACGGAGGGUGCGAGCGUUAAUCGGAAUAACUGGGCGUAAAGGGCACGCAGGCGGUUAUUUAAGUGAGGUGUGAAAGCCCUGGGCUUAACCUAGGAAUUGCAUUUCAGACUGGGUAACUAGAGUACUUUAGGGAGGGGUAGAAUUCCACGUGUAGCGGUGAAAUGCGUAGAGAUGUGGAGGAAUACCGAAGGCGAAGGCAGCCCCUUGGGAAUGUACUGACGCUCAUGUGCGAAAGCGUGGGGAGCGAACAGGAUUAGAUACCCUGGUAGUCCACGCCGUAAACGAUGAGUGCUAAGUGUUGGGGGCUUUCCGGCCCUCGGUGCUGGAGCUAACGUAUUAAGCACUCCGCCUGGGGAUUACGACCGCAAGGUUGAAACUCAAAAGAAUUGACGGGGACCCGCACAAGCGGUGGAGCAUGUGGUUUAAUUCGAAGCAACGCGAAGAACCUUACCAGCUCUUGACAUCUUCUGACAACUCUAGAGAUAGAGCGUUCCCUUUGGGGACAGAAUGACAGGUGGUGCAUGGUUGUCGUCAGCUCGUGUCGUGAGAUGUUGGGUUAAGUCCCGUAACGAGCGCAACCCUUGUUGUUAGUUGCCAGCAUUAAGUUGGGCACUUUAACGAGACUGCCGGUGAUAAACCGGAGGAAGGCGGGGAUGACGUCAAAUCAUCAUGCCCCUUAUGAGCUGGGCUACACACGUGCUACAAUGGAUGGUACAACGAGCAGCGAUCCCGCAAGGGCUAGCUAAUCUUUCAAAGCCAUUCUCAGUUCGGAUUGCACUCUGCAACUCGAGUGCAUGAAGUCGGAAUCGCUAGUAAUCGCGAAUCAGAAUGUCGCGGUGAAUCCGUUCCCGGGUCU